rnacentral:rRNA from 1 species
AUUUUCUGCCACCGAAUACAUUAGCAUGGGAUAAUGGAAUAGGACCCUGUCCUCCUAUUUUCAGUUGGUUUUGGCAGCGCGAGGACUAGGGUAAUGAUUAAUAGGGAUAGUUGGGGGCAUUAAUAUUUAAUUGUCAGAGGUGAAAUUCUUGGAUUUAUGAAAGAUUAACUUCUGCGAAAGCAUCUGCCAAGGAUGUUUUCAUUAAUCAAGAACGAAAGUUAGGGGAUCGAAGACGAUCAGAUACCGUCGUAGUCUUAACCAUAAACGAUGCCGACCAGCGAUUAGGAGACGUUGAAUACAAAACACCACCAUCGGCGCGGUCGUCCCUGGCUCGUCGUCUCACGACGGCGGGCGGGGGCGGUUUAGCCCGAUGGCACCGGUGAAUGACUCCCUAGCACUUUGUGAGACAA